rnacentral:rRNA from 1 species
AUUGAACGCUGGCGGCAUGCCUUACACAUGCAAGUCGAACGGCAGCACGGGAGCAAUCCUGGUGGCGAGUGGCGAACGGGUGAGUAAUGUAUCGGAACGUGCCCAGUCGUGGGGGAUAACGUAGCGAAAGCUACGCUAAUACCGCAUACGAUCUAUGGAUGAAAGCGGGGGACCGUAAGGCCUCGCGCGAUUGGAGCGGGCGAUAUCAGAUUAGGUAGUUGGUGGGGUAAAGGCCUACCAAGCCGACGAUCUGUAGCUGGUCUGAGAGGACGACCAGCCACACUGGGACUGAGACACGGCCCAGACUCCUACGGGAGGCAGCAGUGGGGAAUUUUGGACAAUGGGCGCAAGCCUGAUCCAGCAAUGCCGCGUGCAGGAUGAAGGCCUUCGGGUUGUAAACUGCUUUUGUACGGAGCGAAAAGGCUCUCUCUAAUACAGGGGCUCAUGACGGUACCGUAAGAAUAAGCACCGGCUAACUACGUGCCAGCCGCCGCAGUAAGAC